CGCAACAUGACAAACAACAGAGCAAUACACUCUUUGAAAAACAAAUGGUUUCAGCAAGUCUUAUGAGGGAGGGGGUGAGGUCUGCAUUUCAACUACCUUCUUCCACGAUUCUCUGCUAGAUAUCUCAUCCCACCACCUUCCCACGUUCUUUCUUGAAGUGAAGAGCUCUGCUCUAUCUGUCCCGUUUACCAAAUAUUGGAUGUUUGGAAGGUGAGAGAGAUCGGCCAAUGUGAACUCAUCUCCGG
rnacentral:lncRNA from 1 species